GAUGAACGCUAGCGGCAGGCCUAACACAUGCAAGUCGAGGGGUAACACGGGUAGCAAUACCUGGUGACGACCGGCGCACGGGUGAGUAACGCGUAUGCAACCUACCCUUAACAGGGGAAUAGCCCGAAGAAAUUCGGAUUAAUGUCCCAUAAUAUAUAUGAAUCGCAUGGUUUAUAUAUAAAAACUCCGGUGGUUAAGGAUGGGCAUGCGUGACAUUAGAUAGUUGGUGAGGUAACGGCUCACCAAGUCAGCGAUGUCUAGGGGGCGUGAGAGGGUAAUCCCCCACACUGGUACUGAGACACGGACCAGACUCCUACGGGAUGCAGCAGUGAGGAAUAUUGCGCAAUGGAGGCAACUCUGACGCAGCCAUGCCGCGUGCAGGAAGACGGCCCUAUGGGUUGUAAACUGCUUUUAUACGGGAAUAAUCCCUGGUACGUGUACCGGGUUGAAUGUACCGUAAGAAUAAGCAUCGGCUAACUCCGUGCCAGCAGCCGCCGUAAAAC
rnacentral:rRNA from 1 species